UCGAGAAUCUUCGGCAAUGGGCGCAAGCCUGACCGAGCGACGCCGCGUGCGGGAUGAAGGCCUUCGGGUUGUAAACCGCUGUCAGAGGGGAGGAAAUGCGUGAGGGUUCUCUCUCACGUUUGACCUAUCCUCAGAGGAAGUACGGGCUAAGUUCGUGCCAGCAGCCGCGGUAAUACGAACCGUACGAACGUUAUUCGGAUUCACUGGGCUUAAAGCGUGCGUAGGCGGCUGGGAAAGUUGGGUGUGAAAUCCCUCGGCUCAACCGAGGAAUAGCGCUCAAAACUACCUGGCUUGAGGGAGAUAGAGGUGAGCGGAACUGAUGGUGGAGCGGUGAAAUGCGUUGAUAUCAUCAGGAACACCUGUGGCGAAAGCAGCUCACUGGGUCUUUUCUGACGCUGAUGCACGAAAGCUAGGGGAGCGAACGGG
rnacentral:rRNA from 1 species